GUAGGGGGCUAGCGUUGUCCGGAUUUAUUGGGCGUAAAGAGCGUGUAGGCGGCCAGGUAGGUCCGUUGUGAAAACCCGAGGCUUAACCUCGGGACGUCGAUGGAAACCAUCUGGCUAGAGUCCGGAAGAGGAGAGUGGAAUUCCUGGUGUAGCGGUGAAAUGCGCAGAUAUCAGGAAGAACACCCGUGGCGAAGGCGGCUCUCUGGGACGGUACUGACGCUGAGACGCGAAAGCGUGGGGAGCGAACAGGAUUAGAUACCCUGGUAGUCCACGCCGUAAACGAUGGGUGCUAGGUGUGGGCGGUGUCGACUCCGUCCGUGCCGAAGCUAACGCAUUAAGCACCCCGCCUGGGGAGUACGGCCGCAAGGCUA
rnacentral:rRNA from 1 species